UACGGGGGGGGCAAGCGUUGUUCGGAAUUACUGGGCGUAAAGGGCUCGUAGGUGGCCAACUAAGUCAGACGUGAAAUCCCUCGGCUUAACCGGGGAACUGCGUCUGAUACUGGAUGGCUCGAGUUUGGGAGAGGGAUGCGGAAUUCCAGGUGUAGCGGUGAAAUGCGUAGAUAUCUGGAGGAAUACCGGUGGCGAAGGCGGCAUCCUGGACCGACAUUGACGCUGAGGAGCGAAAGCGUGGGGAGCGAACAGG
rnacentral:rRNA from 1 species